GCGGAUGCAGGAAUUGUCACUCGUGGGGUCACAAAAAUAGUGACGGCGACGGAGACGACUGUUGGUGAACGGCAGCUAGCACCCUUGGCGGCGAUGUCAAGGGAUGAGAUAUUGGUGGUGGACAGGGACGGACUCAGGAAUUGCAAAUCGGGCGGGCUAAAUUUACCUUAAGUACAAAUGUAUUAAGAAAAUUUGGUGAGUUUUUGUGGAUUUUGGUUGUUUUUGUAUAUUUUUAGGCUUGAACAAUAGAUUGUACGAACUGAAAACUAGAGGUGACCCACAAGAGUGGCUUUUUUUUUCUUUUUUUUUUGUGUGGAUAAAUUAUAAGCCCUUGUUGUUAUAUUUUUAUUUUAUAUAAGCAAUCUUUUUUCAAUAUAUUUUCUUCUUCAUAUUUAGAACUUUUUGUUAUUAUACGACAUUUGAAAUAGAAAAAAUGAUGGAAUUAUUAUUAAUAUUGUUGAAAUAUUUAGAAGGGUUUGAAAGGAAACAAAGAAAAAAAAAAGAAAAAAAUAUUUAUUAUAUUUCCCCUCUCUCUUUUUUAUUAUUUUUUCCCCUCUCUCUCUUUUUAAUAACUCCCUCUCUUUUUUAUUCUUUUUUCCUCUUUCUCUCUCUCUCCCUCCUCCCGUCUCCCGUCUCCCUCUUUCUUUUUUCUUUUUCCCCUCUCUGUUUUUAUUAUUUUUCCUUCUUCCUCUCUUCUUCUUUUCUUUCUUCUCUGUCCUCCGUCUGCUCCAUCUCUCUUCCCUCUCUCUCUUUCUUCUUGCUCCAGCUGCCACCACCGAAGCUUCUUCUUCUUCUCCAUGGGGUCACUUCCAUGGCUGCCAAGGGCAAAAACCAGUCCCUACCACUAAACUCCAGAUCUGCCAUGGGGUCGUUUGACCCCAUUGACCCCAUGGUGGAUCCGCCCCUGAGCAAACCAAAAGCGGUCGGUCACCGUGAAUUAGCAGUUUAAAACCGCAAGUUCUUUUUGUAUCAUAAAAAUCCAAUCUUCCACAUUUUAGACCUAGUUUUGAUGCUUCUUUUGAAGCCUUUUGAGUUCAAGCAUACUUUAACCCAAAAAUAUAAAUUCACAACCUUAAGAAAUAAAUUCACAACAUCAACUUCUCAAGCGUAUAUAAAUUUACAACCUCCUCAACUUCUCAAGCAUUCACAACCUAAAAAAAAUUAAAGUUACAAUUCCAAUAGCAUGCCAAUUAAAGUUAAACUUCUCAAGCAUUCACAACCUCAACUUCUCAAGCAUUCCAAUCCCAAAUCCUUUAAAGUUACAAACCAAAAGGAAAAUGUAAUGGAAAAUGAAUUAAAGUUAUAACCCUAAGGAAAAAUCCAAUUCAAAAUUAAUUAAAGUUACAAACUAAAAGGAAAAUGCAAUGCACCAAUGUUACAAACUAAAGUUAUAAACUCAAGUGUUGGUGGUGGUGAGUGGAUUUGAAGGACCCUGUUGUGUUGUUUGAGCAUCAAUGCUAUCUACAAAUAAACAACAUACGUUUAGUACAUUUUAUUAUAAGAAGGAACAUAAAUAAACUAAUUACUUACAAGAUAAGUGGUCUUGUUAUACAACAGCUACGAUUAAACAAUAAAAUGUAAUUUUUAUUUUUUUUUAAAUAUAGUCACAGUUUGCGGUAACCACAAGUUGUGAAAAUCAAAUACCGCAACUACAACCGCAAAUGCGGUUCGGUUCUUUAUACCGCAAAUGCGGUUCAGUUUCCAGCAAUUGCAGUUCUAUUACCGUUAAAUGUAACCUCUAAGAUGGACAUGGAAUUCUGUGUAAUUAUGGUGGAAAUAUAGGGCUAUUUUGGUCAUUUGAGUAUAUGGUUUGCUAGAGAGAGCCAUUGGGUGCGAUGAGGUCCAUGAAAUUCUAAUAAGAGCCAUCAACUACUGUGUUGGUAUAGUUGUUUAACGGCUCUGAUUGUUGAAUGCGUGCCGGUGCUUAGUCAAAGCACCAAACAAGGCCAAGGUCACUGUGGCCAGCUAUGGGCUUUCAUGCAGCUUAUUCAUCAAGGCCAUUUCGGCCCUUUCUAGUUCUAGGCUUUGUUCUUGUUGGCUUUUCUGGGUCUUUUGGGCUACAGGCCCCCAAUGUAUCAACAAGAAAAAGAUCACUAGAACAAUAGCACUAGUCUUUUUAUUCUUCAACCAUCGAUAAUCUAAUCUGCGGAAAUAAGGAUUCGAACUUGAGUACAAAAGAGUGUGCGGGCAGGCUCACUGUAUGACCAAUUGUGUUAACCCACAACUGCAUAACGGCUAAUCACACAUUUUUUUCACUUAAAAAAGAGGGGGAUUCAUACAUAUUGGUAGGUAGACUAUGAGUUAUGAACUAACAGUCAAAAUAAUUGGUGAUGGCAAACCCAGUAUGAGUGGACUUGUGGAUUGGAUUGGAUAGGCUAAUGCAAUAAUCCUUUUGGAUAAAUGCAUAGUUUCCUCCUUCCAUUUUAAGAUCUUAGUCACAAAUAAUAUUUAAAAUCUUGAAUUAAGAGUUUAAGAGCAGAUCUUUAAACCAAGUAAUUAAUUUUGAUAAGAGAAGAUCACUUUCUAAAAGCAGCCAAGAUCACUUUCUAAAAAUACAAGCUUUUCAUUUACAAGCAACAAGGCUUUGCAUCGUCAAAGCAUACACAUGUAUUUUAAAGAUGAAGAAUGCCAUAGCAAAAACAUCAAAAAGGAAAAGGAAAAUACAUCAUCAUCUUUGCAACCCAUGCAACACUGUGGUUGGAGAUUAACAUAGCUAGCUCAGGAGGGAUAGAAGGGGGAGAAGAAGAUCCACGAACCCAAGAUGGGGUGUUUGCAUAUUGAGCUAUCUUGACCUAUACUUUUGCACUGUCGGGCUUGCAAGGUCAAGAAAACUCGAACAUUCUUCGUGGAGUUAAAAAAAUCAAAAAAAUAAACAUAACAAGAAUAAGCUCAGAAGAGAUAUCGCCAUGACUUCUACCAGCACAUCUUUCUCUUUUCUUCCCCUAUGCCACAAACCACUUGACCUACUGGGUGAGCCAUGAGACCCAUGAACACCAACAGAGCCAUGGCCGAGACCAAGAGAAAGUGGGUGAGAACCAGAGAGCUUGGAGAAGAUGAAGGAGGGGGAUGUAGGUAUUAUUAGGGUUGACCACCAGUACAAGACUGGUGAAACAGUGCCAUGAAGAUAGAGAAGGGGAUGGGAUAUAUGAUGCUAUUUAUAUUGAGGGAGUGGUCACAGAAUGAAAUAAAGGCUGAUGGGUAUAAUUGGCUCUUUAAUGGAAAAAUAAGGUGAUGUGUCGUUUUCAAGCUAGGGCAGACACUAGGCAUAAUGAGAAUUUGUUUUCUUGGGAUUCAAAAACCGACUCUAUUUCAGGAUUAGGACUUCUUUUUUGUGCUUUUGUUCUUGUUUUUUCAAACAGUAAGUUCCCUUCUGGUUUUUAAGAAUUCUACUACUGCCAUAUCCUGUACUAAACUUUUUACAACUGAUAAAAGUAUGUUUAUUAUAUUCAACUUUGGAUGAGAGAUUGAAAAAAAUUUAUGUUUUUUUAAAAGAAAUCUGACCUAAUUACUGGUUCACAAAUUUAAUCCAAUGUGAGAUGAGAAGUGGUGUAUUUAUUUUGCUUGCAACUUAUAGCAUACAUCUGUGUAUCAGAAAUAAUUGCAUUACAUGCAUGCAAAGGUAGCUUUGACCAUUUUGAUAAGUAACAACAAAAAACAAGAAAAAAGAACAGAGUGGGUUUUGACCAUUGAAUUUCUCACCAGAUGUAAUCUUUUUCAAGCAAAUCUCUGCCUUGCAAUUCAAAACCACUCAUCUCUCUCUCUCUCUCUCUCUCUCCCCGCUGAUACAGAUAGAGAAAGAACAAGAACGAAGCCCUAGGAGUUUAGCUACAGAUGGGUCUCUUCAGCAAACCGCUACUUUAUUCACUGUUCCUUUUGUCCCUCUCUCUGCAACCUUUCCAAAAUCACACAAAACCAAAACCCCCCAAACCCUAAUUCUCAUGUCUUAUGUAAUUAUUAUACCCUUUGCUGCUGCCUGCUGCUGCUGCAAUUCUCUCAGAAUUGGGACCUGCACUAUUGUAAAGUCAAUCUCAGAUAUUAUGGCCUCCUAUAUUAAUGGCCUUUUGAACUUUUUGUGUGUCACUUUAUAUGUACAAUUUUCAAACCAAAAUCAAAUCUUGAAAGCCUUUUUUAUUUUGUUCUGCUAAAGAAAAAGUAAAAUCCUUUUUCUUUUUUUUUGAAAAAAGGAAAAAUUAUUAUAAAGAAGAUCCGCGUCCGAUAUGAUGACUAUACAAAUCAAAGUAAUCUUUAUAACUAAUAUUCAUAAGAAGAUGAAUGAAAUUAAAUACAAGUAUUAUCAAUACAUUAUUCUUUUUUGAUCAAAAUGUCUCUUACCAUAUUAACUUCUCGAUAAACACGUUGAAAAGAGACAUGAGAAAAAAUAAAAUCAUUGGCAUAAACCAAUGUUUCUUUAUCUUGUUCUGGUAAUUAAAGUAGGGUAUUGGCCGAAUUGUAAGCCCGUAAGUGGCCUGGGGACAUGUCUCUGGCCAUUCCUGGGGUACAAUAUAAGCUCAGACUCUGCUGCAAGUAUUAAUUUCACAUACUCGAGUGCUCCAUCCAACCAACCCAACUUGUAUGUCUGAUUCAAAACCCGUGAAGGGUACUCUCAGAUCAUCAUGAGCCCUUUACGUCACACUAUGUCAUUUGCAUUGCUGUGGGGACCUGUCUUCAUAUAUGUACAUAUAUCAUGUUGUUUUGGGGUUCCAUCUGCUUCUGUUAUCCUUUUGAUUUAUAUACAGUAUGUUUACUCUGUACAGUAUGUUAUUUAAUAACUUUAUUACAAUACUAAUGCACUACUACAAAAAACACUUUGCGCGAUGAAAUAAGUUUGUUGUGCAAAGUACAAUUUCAUCGCGCAAAACUCGUGAAGAAAGGGUUUGCGCAACGAACCUUAACGUCGCACAAAUCUACCUUGAGCAACGAAAAAUAUUGGUCGCGCAAAGUUUUGCGCGACGAAAUAAUAUUGGUUGCGCAAAGUUUUACGCAACAAAAAAGUGUUGGUCGGGCAAAACUUUGCGUGACGAAAAAGUAUUGGUCGUUCAAAGUUUUGCGCGACGAAAAGUAUUGGUUGCGCAAAGUUUUGCGUGACGAAAAAUAUUGGUCACGCAAAGGCAAAAAAAUUUAUUUUAAAAAAAAAAUUCCCGCAUCCCAUUUUUUGUACCCGCCAAAAUUUUUAAAGUUUUGCGCGACGAAAUAUUUUUUGUGUUUUAAAAUUUUUUAAUUAAAUUAAACUAAUUUAAUAGUUUGCUCAAUGAAAUAUUUUGUCGUGCAAGGUUUUUAACUUUUUGUUUUAGUAUUAAUUUUUUCGAAUUUUGACUUUUUAAAUUUAAUUAAUUGUAUGAUUUUUUUUAAAUUACUUUAAUUUAAACUGACAUAUUCAAAAUAAAAUUACAUAUGAAAAAUAGUGAUCAAAUUAUCCAAUAAAUAAAUAAAUAUAUAAUAUUCAAAAUGUACACAUAAAUUAACAAAGUACAAUAAUAAAAUCCGAAUACAAGCCUAUUGUGGUGGUAGUGGCGGAGGAUAUGUUUCGAUAGCGUCCUAAUCAUUAACUUUAGCCGUCAAAGUGUCGACGGUUCCCUACAAAAAAAAAAUAUGGUCAAAUAACAAAAAAAAAAAGAAGGCAUAAUCUCCCCUAAAAUUGUUAUACCACAAAUCCAACCCAAACUCCAACCCUCACCCUAUACUCAACCCCAAACCCCACACAAACUCAAAACUAACUCCAAAAACACAUAUUAAUGAAAAAAAUUUAAAAUUUGGAGAGAAUACACCUUUUGGCAAGAGAGAGAGAGAGUGAGUGAGAGUGAGACAUAGUGAAAAGAGAGAUGAGAGAGUGAGUGAGAAUGAGAGAUAGUGAAGAGAGAGAUGAGAGAGUAAGUGAGAGGAGAGAGGAGUGAGUGUGAGAGAAAGGGUGGGAUUUGGGGAGAGGGAAACAGAGAGGAGAGGUGAGAGGAGAGGUAAGAGUAGAGAAAGACAUUAAGAAAAUGGUGGAGGAGUUAUUUUGGUUUUAAAAACCGUAUCACUUUGCGCGACGAAAAAUAUAUAUUGGUCACACAAAGUUUUGCGUGACGAAAAAUAUUGGUCGCGCAAAGUCGAAAAAAAAUUAAAAUUUUUUUUUCUUCCCACAUCUCAUUUUUAGUACCCGCCCAAAAUUUUAAAGUUUUGUGCGAUGAAAAAUAUUGGUCGCGCAAAGUCCAAAAAAAAUUAUAAUUUUUUUUUUCCCACGUCUCAUUUUUGGUACCCGCCCAAAAUUUUAAAGUUUUGUGUGACGAAAAAUAUUCGAAUAUUGGUCGCGCAAAGUCUAAAUUUUUUUUUAUUUUUUUAUUUUCCCAAUUCCCAUUUUUGGUACCCGUCCCAAUUUUUAAAGUUUUGCGUGAUGAAAAAAAUUGGUUGCGCAAAGUCUAAAAAAAAUGUUAAAGUUUUGUGUAUAUAUAUUAUACACACACACACACCAUUCAACGAUCCAACCGUCAAACUUGUUUGUAUAUACUUCAAGAUCGUAUACCCCCAAAAAUUACAAACAACAAACAUUCAGAUAUCUAGUAAUGAGGCAAAACUUUUCGGUGGUUAUAAAUGAAAAAUCGCGAUUUAACGGUUAUUUUAACUCCGAUUUUAAUAUUUUUUACAGCUACACUCCUUGACCCUAUAUGAAUACAAUGACUGAAUUUGAUCUUCAAUUUAAAAUAUUUACACUAGUGGAUACCACAAAAUCUUAUGUUAUAUCGAGAAAAAAAAAACAUUCGAAGAUCAAGUAUAACUUUUUGACGGUUAUAAAUGAAAAAUCACGAUUUAACGGUUAAUUUAACUCCGAUUUUGAUGAUUUUUUACAGCUACACUCCUUGACCCUAUAUGAAUACAAUGAUUGAAUUUGAUCUUCAAUUUAAAAUAUUUACACUAGUGGAUACCACAAAAUCUUAUGUUAUAUUUAAUGAAAGUAUAAUAAACUCUUAAUUGUCAGUGAAUAUAUUAUUUUGAUGGUAUACGCACUCUACGAAACUAGUUUCAACAAUCCAACUGUCAAACUUGUUUGUUUAUACUUCGAGAUCAUAUACGCCAAAAAUCGAAAAAAAUAAACAUUCAGAGAUCAAGUAAUGAAAAAAAACUUUUCGACAGUUAUAAAUGAAAAAUCAUGAUUUAACGGUUAAUUUAACUCCGAUUUUGAUGUUUUUUACAGCUACACUCCUUGACCCUAUAUGAAUAUAAUGACUGAAUUAGAUCUUCAAUUUAAAAUAUUUACACUAAUGGAUACCACAAAAUCUUAUGUUAUAUUUAACGAAAGUAUAAAUGAACUCUUAAUUGUUAAUGAAUAUAUUGUUUUGAUGGCAUACGCAUUCAACGAAACUAGUUUCAACAAUCCAACCGUCAAACUUGUUUGUUUAUACUUUGAGAUCAUAUACGCCAAAAAUCAGAAAAGAUAAACAUUCAAAUAUCAAGUAAUGGGACAAAACUUUUGACGGUUAUAAAUGAAAAAUCACGAUUUAACGGUUAUUUUAACUCCAAUUUUGAUGAUUUUUUAUAGCUACACUCCUUGACCCUAUAUGAAUAUAAUGAACUAAUUCGAUCAUCAAUUUAAAAUAUAUAUUUUCUAACAAAAACCCAAUUUGAACUACAAUAAUAUAUUUUUCUAACAAAAAUCUGAUCCGAACUAAAAUAAUAAAUUUAAAGCUACUUAAUAAAUAUAUAUACCGUUAAAUUUCUUAAGUGUUAUGCAUACAAAAUAAAAAAUUAAAUUAAAUUGGUUUAGGCGAUGAAAUGUUUGGAUUAUGUCAUGCAAAGAUUUAUAAAAAUAAUUUUAUUUUAUUUAUUUUUGUAAAGACUUUGCGUGACGAAACACACUUCGUCGCGCAAAGUCACUUUGAGCGACAAUGUAUUGUCGUCGCGCAAACGUUCGUCGCGCAAAGUUUGGUUGUGCAAGACUUUGAGCGACGAAAUUUUUAAUUUCGUUGCGCAAAGUCACUUUGCGCGACGAAUAAUUUUUCGUCGCGCAAAGUUUGACCGCGCAAGGUUUUUUUUACUAGUGAUGGUAUUUGAGAGCUACAGUUUCACUUUAUUAUUGGUUAAAAACUAUAGAGAUGACUAGGUGCAUGGUCUGUGAGUAAUUUGAUGCAUAUGAAGAGAAAAGAAAAGUUGCCAAAGGGUCUAGCUUGGGCCUUGAUUUGCAUAAUCAUGUUCGAGCCGGGAGCUUCUAUAAUGAGGGGAAUUUUGGUAAAGGGGAGGGGGGGUUCAAUGAGGGGUUCAAUCCAACCAUUUAAUCAUUAAAAAAGUUUAAGUCCAUUAUUUUCUAUCUCUUGUUGGAUAGUGGGAUUAAACCCCUCCCACAACCUCCUUAACCACAACCCCCUCAUUAUAGCAUUUCCGGUUCGGCCCUCCAUGGCUCAUUGACAGUGUGUGAGAAAACUUCACCUCCUCCCCAAUAUGACUGUGUAUUAUUAAAUAAAUAAAUAAAUAAAGUUAACAUUUAUCACAAUCGCAAACAAGUUUGGGAUGGUCCCCUGCCAGAAUGAAGUCAUUCUAUAAUGAGGGCCUUAUAUAUGGUUCUUAGGUGAGGUCUUAUGUCUUAAUCGUUGGAUUAGGCUAACCAAUUUAAUCCAAUGACUAACCAAUUUGAUCCAAUAAUUAAAAAAUAAGGUCUCACCUAAAGGCCAUAUAUAAGGCCCUCACUAUAGAAUUCUUGUGCCAUAAUGAAAACUUAUGGGCCCUGUAAUCCAAGAGCGAUAUCUGUGCAGGUUGGGCUUCUAACAUGUGCAGCAAGCUAUGUGCCAUAUUUUGCUGGAGCUUGCUUGUCUAGUGGUUGGUUGCCACUUGAAAGUGUUUACGUGGGCCUGAAACAAAUAGGAUUCAACUAUUUUGAUCAGCAAAACUUAGCGAUUCCAACGGAAUUAUGAUAAACGCAAUAUAAUACCAAAGGGUUAGUACUAUCGAAACAAAGGGUGAUAUUCUCUUGCUAAGCAUGACAUUUUCAUACAAACAAUAUUGUUACUUGUGCUUUUUUUUUUAGUACAAGUGAUAGUCUAAGCUACAGGAGAGGAAAAUUUUACAAUACACGCAACUAUGAUAUCGUAGAAAUUCAAACUUGAAAUCUUUAUUCUGCAAGUCAAGCAAUAUAUAGUUACUUGUGCUUCUUAUCCGCAAACAAGUCAAUACUUGUUGGGUGAAGUAAUUCCUUCAUAGUCAACAAUAUCAAUUGUCACAUUUCUCACGAAACCAUCCAAAACCCCAAAUUAUUGUUCCACCAAAGAAAAAUACACACGCUACAACCACCCCCCACCCCUCCUUCUCUAAUUAUUGAUUCUAUAGCUAUAGCUUUCGUAUUGCUUCCAAGAUAACGUAGCCACAUCCCCAUUCCCAUUGUCAACCUUUCCAGCUCGGCGUCCGUACAAGCAACCCACACAGUACAAUUUUCAAUUAUGAAGCCCAAGUUUUUUCAAACUAUGACCGAGUUGAGUAUACGUAGAUACCUUUACGUAUUUUUCUGGGCUUCCAAAUUUUCAUUAAUUUACUUUAUUUUAUGUACUUCCAAUACAUUAUAAAAUUGGGAAUUAAUAUAUUUUUCAUGCUGAGGAUAUUUAGACAUAGGCUCGAAUUUGGGCAAGCACGCAUUGUCUGUUUCUUGUCAAGUUUUAGGUCCAUUUACGUGUCUUGUUAAAACAGUUUGUGACCUAAAACAACAAUGAAGAGUCGUGCCUCGGGGUUUGAAGUUUGAAGCAACAGCAUCCAUCCUUGGAGACCGUGUUUCCCAACAACAAGCUUAUUCUUUGCAUGCCUGCCUUGGAUCUGACAAAGUAGGGUUGCGUCAAUAAUCAACAUUAUUGACAAUAAUGCUUUGUUUAAUGUUUUCUUGGGAGACCCGCUAGCUUGAUUAAUAGUUUGAUAACAUAACAUAAAUGUGAUUUUCUCGUUCAACAUGAGUGCUUGAGUGCUUAAUGGCCAUCUCUUCAAAUAAUUGAGCCUUAAUAAUGUCAACAAAAAGAGCUUUGAUAUUUUUAAUUAAUUAAUAUCUUUUGUUGACUAUAUGAUCGACCAUUAUGGAUGAAAAGGGUUACAUUCUUUAUUUAUAAAAAAGCGAUAUAAAUUUAUUAGAUCAAUAAGAAGAAAGAAUACAAAUGAUAAAAAUUGUAAAGAGAAACAUCUUAUUAGUAAUAUGACAUACGUGAGUAAAAACUUUAUCAAUAAUCAAAAUCAGUCGAAAAACUAAAAUAAUAUGAACCGGAAAGAAAUCAGUCUCGAAAAAGUGUAACAUUUCUUAAUUAUUUGAACUUCACAUAUUCUAAAUAUGAUCAUACAUUGAUGUAUCUGGGUGUGCGGCAAAAAUGCAUGAUCAAUUAUAAAAUGUUUGACCUAAUUCCGAGGUAAUCAUUUUUGUGGACAUGAUUAUACUGGCAGAUUGGCCAGGGCAAAGGCACAAAUGCACUAAUCACAUUAAACUAGUUAAUUAUGGUAGUGCCAAAACCGACCUAAUAGUUAGUAUGUCUGGUACUACCGCCCUUCGAAUAUAAACCAACGAAGUUGCGCAUGGGAGGAACCAAGAUAAACGACCAUUAACUCGAGCAUUAGUUUAUGCGUGCUAGAUCUUCCUAUAGUUAAUUAUUUUUCACAAAACUUUUAAACUCUAAAAUGACGUAAACAUGAACACAAUAAUAGUAUAGAAAAUAUAGGUGCUGUUAUUUUAAUAUAAAAGACAAAUGCUGAGAGAGAGAGAGAGAGAGAGAGAGAGAUAACUUAUUGAAGCUACUCAUCCAAAAUAAUGGAUGCAUGACUAAUCAAGGAAGGAGUAUAUAAUAGCUUUGACGAAUUUUGAUUUUCCAAUGGAGAUAUUGCUUGCCUCCUUUUUUAAAAAGAAAUAUUUAUCUUGAUUGUAAAUUACGGAUCGAUACAUAUACAAAAAUAAUUUACGAAAAAUAUAAAAAAGAAUUUCUAUACACAUGACAAAUUGUGAUUAACAAGAAAAUAAGAAUUUUUACUUCCCAACAAAGACAAGUAUUUUCUUUCGAACUCUCCAUAGUGAGAAAAAGCAAUACGCUACUUCACAAAGAUUGAAACUUGUAUCCAUUUAUUGCAUAUAGGUGGACAACUCAUAACCUUGAUAUAACACUUAUCUCUAGCUAGUGGAAGCAUAUUAAUAUCAUUGAUGAUUACAAGGCCAUUUGCUACUUUCAAUCUAGACUUGACAAACUCCUGGUCAUGCUGGCAUCUUUCUUCGAAAACGAUAUAUCAUUGUGGGUGGGGGUGUCAAUUUUUAGGAUUCAAUUAAUUAUAAGAGUCUGACAUGUCACAUAAUUAUUAUCCAUAUGUAAGUUGUGGAGCGGAAAGAGCAUACUAAAAAAAAUCCACAACAACUAUUUUGAAUCACUUUCGUGCAUCUUCUAAGUAAAGAUAUGAUAAGCAUGAUCAAUUAUGUACAUUAUGGUUAUGGGUCUGCUGGGAUAUGUUAUAAGCAUGUAAGGUUGAUUUCCAUGUGCAUACAUGCAUGUCACAGUCAUACUUUUUGGACGGGUUUUUUGUUUUAAGACGUUGUUUUGGGAUGUGACCGAAUGUAGUUAAUUAGGGCAAAACUAUAGUUUAGUGAUUAAAGAGUGAGGAUUAAUGUAGUAAUUAAAUAGUGAUGAUAUUCCAUGCUCAUGCUCUCAUGUGUGAUGAUAUGCCAUGCAUGUAUUCGAUAUCGUUGUCUCAAUUUUUAAAAAUUAAAAUGGAACUUUAGGAGGAGAAUCAUGCCGAUUAGCAGUAAUUUGAGGAAAUUAUGGCAGUUGAAAAGGGUUAUAGAAAAGUUAUUUUUUUAGAGUGAUUCUCUCUACAUUGUUUCAACUUUUCAGCCAAUUUAGUUUAUUAGGGAAGUUUUACCCAUAUCUGUCAUGUUGUUAUUAAAAUAAUUCCUUUUACAUUAUGUAUCAUUUGUACUCUUUAUUUAUAUUAAUCAAAUAAAAUUCUAUCGCUUUUAUAAAUAAAUAAAAUGGAACUUAACAGCUUCAUGACUUUCAUUUUGACUUUAAACAUAUAUAGCAUGCUGAUGAAUUAUUAUAAAUUAUUAAUUUGGUCCAAUAGAAUGAGAUAAUGUCAGCAGCUAGACUUCAUGACUCACGACUCAUUCAUAUACAUAUGUUUAAAUUUUAAAACCUUUCGGCUUGUUUGGUUGCUCGAUUUGAAUUGGAAUUAUUUUAAUUAAAUUGAUUUAAUUGAGCAAUAAUUCAAUAUAUUGUGUCCCAUCUAAAAUAAUAUGAGUCAUAAAAAUUGACUUCAACCAAUCGCCAAACAAGGCCCCAAGACUAGCUAUUGGCAAUAGGUCUAGAUAGUGGUUCCAUCUUAUGCAUAUGUAGAUAUAGCCCGUCAACAAAUUGAUGCCUCUAUUAUUUGGUCAAAAGUUUAAAAGGAUCUUGAAAAAGUUAAGCAAACUAUUUUAUCAUAUAGUAGGGAUAACUUUUGAAUCCACAAAUAUUCAGACUAAUGUCAGCAAUGACAAAAAAACAUAUACCUUUGAAUAAUUCAGUUGAAAGCUCCCAAGCCUCCAACCAUGUGACUUACCCCAUGUUACCAAAAGUACUAGAGUAUUUGACCGUUUAAUUACUUAAACCAAAAUCCAACUUAAAAAAUAUAUAUAUGAUUAAGAUUCAAUUUGGAAGUUAGAAUCUCUUUACCCAUCAACUUAUUUUGGAAGUUAAAAAAAUAAUAAUAAUAAGUGAUAGUCUAAAUUAUAAAGAGAUGUGAGUUUCUCACACACACACACCAAUGUGCAAGGGCGGACCUAAGCCUAGGCUGGAGCCUAGGGGAACAUUUAUAAAAUAUUGAACAUGGUCUUAUUAUUAUAGACUUAUUCCUACUCAAAUAAAUAUUAGCCCACUACACCAAAUAAAUAUAGCCCACACAUGCAUUGUUUUUCUUUUUUUAAUAAACUAAUAAUAACCCAAUCUAAGUAAAGUAAAUUAUAACUCAGUCCUCUAUUUAAAAUAAGCCUACUCCUGAAGCAUAUAGGAAAUAAUAAACAUCAAUCCAAACCUAUAUAAAUUUGAUUAGAAGCAGAACUCACGCUAAGGCUCUACCAACUUGAGCUAUUCUAAUCAUACUUAUAUUGGGCUAUACCCAUAGAGAGCAAACAAAAAAAAAAAUUCUUCUAGCCAUCCAAAACGCCAUAUUUGAACCUUGAGAGCCUAGAGGAAAUAGCUCUCAUCCUCUAAAAAAUUUUACCAACCUAUUUUCAGAGUUUUUCUCUUUUUUAUUAUUUAUUUAUUCAAUUUCCAAUUUUAAUUGUUGUUGUUAAGUUUUUAUGAUUUAGGGUUUGAGUGAAAAAUUUUGGAGAUUGUUGAUAUGUGUUUUAUUUUUGCAACUUGAAUUAUUAAUUAGUAUAUAUGAUUUUUGGUGUCUAGUAGGAUAUCAUGUCAUAUGAUAAUAAUAGACCGGCAAAGAGAGGAAAAAACUAUUUAUUCAUUCUUUAAAAUAAAAGUGGUAACAAUAACAAAGAUACAGCUUCUGCAUCUAAUGUUGAUACUUCAAUUCCUGAGGAACUUAUUGAACUCAAAUCUCAAGUAAUUUAACCUAAAGAGUUUGAUAUUGCUUCUUUAGAACGAGAUCCAAGGAAACACAUUCCAAUUUGUGAACACCCAAUCAAUCAACAUGAUGAGAUUCGAAGGGUUUAUAUCAAGUUGGGGCCUUAUCAACCUAAACUUUUUGAGUAUCCAAUGACUUUCUUUGUGUUUUAUUUACUCGUAAUGUGGCUUUGUUUGAUUUAUAUAUAUAUAUUUUUUACAUUUUUGUUUCAAGAGAAAAAAAGCUUAUAAUAUAUCUCUUCUAAAAAAAAAAUAGCCUAUCCCUAUAAAAAUUCAUGAGUCUGCCAUUACAAGGUGCUAUAGAAGUUUGAACCUGAGAUCACUGAUGUACAAAUUAAUAUUAUUUUUUAUUGGACUAGACCCCGUUGCCAUAAAAAGUCACUCGCAAUCUUUGCUUACUCCUUUUACAGUAUGUAUAAUUUGCACAAUUGAUUUCAAAUUACAAAAACCCUUAUAUAUUAUCGUUUAUUAAAAUUUGAGUAAAUUGAUAACACUAUAUAUCAAUAAUAGUGGCCCUAAAAAUAGCUAGUGAAGAAACCAAGUCAGCAAUGAGUAAGCAAAGAAUGCGAGUGACUUUUUUGGACACUUUUCUGGACACUUGAUAGCGUGGGAUUUUACACAAACCGACGAGAUAUAAAGUACGUGGCGCACGGGCCUCGCAUUUCCAACUCACUAUAAUACAAAGGCAACCUUCUGUGUCUCUCUCUUUGCAACGAGCAUAUUCCUUAGAAUGUACCAUUUAUAUUCUUCUCCCACUUCCAUAUAUAUAUAUAUGCACGAUAUUUAAAUUAAUAUAAUGUUUGAUUAUAAUAUAAAGUUAUAAAACCAUUUUAUUCUUGUGAGUUUGUGAGGUUGUGCUUGAUGGUGCAAUUUAACACGUCCGUCUCAUUGGACCAUCGAUUGCAAGUUUGAACCAUUAUCAAUAUUCUUAAUAUCCGGAAAGAGCAAGUAUCGUCUUUAUUAAAUAAGUGGGUUAAUUCAUGAUUGGAGCUUUUCAGGUAUAAUUUAACAAGGAAAUAGCCUAAUGAGGAUGGAUGAUCAAGUAAAACUAAUUUUUAUAGUUGGGACCUCAAGAGAAGUUAAAAAGGAUGGAAUACUUGCUCUAUAUAUAUAUAUAUAUAUAUAUAUAUAUAUGUUAUUUUGAAUGAUGUUCCAUUUGCAUUAUUCGUCUGUAAGUUCUCAUAUGUAUUGGUCUUAAACAAGAAUUAUUCUACGUUAACGAGAUUAGUUUUAUUUGUAUACAUUUAUUAUUAAACAAAGUUACUCACGUAAUGAAAAAUAUUCAAAUCACAUUUAUUGAUUGCAUUGCUAAUGCGUAGACAAUGUGAUAUACGCAACACAAGUUUUCUCACGUUACAUUAACAUUGAAAAAAAAAAAGUUCAUCUAAUCCAAUUGUUGAUUUCAUGUACCCAAAAAAAAAAAAAGAAGACUUAUUUUGGUAAAAACAUAAUUAAGAUGGUUACGCGCCCUUUCCAUAAGUGGCGUCCAAAUAAGAAACACGCCGCUCUCGCUUCGCUCAUUUAUCUUAUUUUCUUCAAUAUUUUAUUUAUUUUUCACGAUUUUAUUCACCUAGAUCCACGCUGUUUAUAUUUCUUAUUUAUUUAUUUAUUAUGCCAAACACAAAUUUCUCACUUUGCCUCUAUAAAUACAGUUACCAUGGAAGCAAUCGCACAUAGCUCAUUUUAACAACCUGCGCCAUCUCACCUUUCUCUCUCCUCUCUUAUCUGAGAGAAUGCCCCCCUUUUUCAACUGCCUGUCACCAAAAAAUUAAAUAAAAAGAAGAAUCGCAGCCCGAAGCAAAAGCAAAGGCUAUAGGAAUAUCCUAAGCGAUCCCCAAGCCAAGCCCCCGACUUUCUCUCUCUAUAAAUACCACGCUCUCUCUGUCCUCGUCUGUCCUUCUUCUUCUUCUUUUAUAAGCUGGAUAUGAAAGUGGAGCUCAAUCCUAAUCAUCACCAUCAGGAUCAAGGGACCAAGACCGAGAUGUGCAGGACUAUCGAAGUCGUCGCCGGAGGCGUUGUGCUCUCUCCGGCGAAGCAAGUCGCCGGCGCCGACGACUGCGCCGACGACCUCUUCAUUCCGCCGCUCAACUUCUCCAUGGUCGAUAACGGCAUUUUCAGGUCCGGCUUCCCGGAGUCCGCCAACUUCUCCUUCCUCCAAACCCUAGGCCUCCGCUCCAUCAUGUAAGCCAUUACUUAUGUAAUAACAUCAUCAUGAUUCAUAUAUAAGUGUUUGAUAUUGUUUUGAUUAUUAUUAUUUUUUCAAAAAAAAAAAAAAUUUGUGUUUGAAUUAUAUUUUUAUGUGAUUAAUUUAUGUUCAUGUGUGUAUGCAGAUGUCUGUGUCCAGAGCCGUAUCCAGAGGCGAACGUGGAGUUUUUAAAGUCCAAUGGGAUUAAGCUCUUUCAAUUUGGGAUUGAAGGCUACAAGGUAUGUCUACUUUUCUUUUUUGAAUUCCAUGGGAUUGAGUAUCGUCUCUUUAAGCUAAGUUAAAAAAAUUUCUGCUUAAGUUGAUUAUUGUGAACCGGUGACUACUAUGUGCUGCUUACAUUCAAAUUGAACUUUUGAAAUGGAGGAAAUUGAUGAAAGUGUGAUCUUUUAGAAAUUACUUUGGUAAUACAAAGAGUUAAGAAAGUGCGGUUGGAUAUAUUUACCAAUGAAGUAGACGUUUGGAGGCUUCUGCGUUUCCUGACAUUUGGGGCACAUAUCAUAAAUAAUAUCAAUACCGUUUCCUAGCUAAGAUAUAUGUACAUAUACGGAGAGCUUCUAUUGAGGGAUCCCUCAAUAGAAGGGGACUGUAUAUAUGCAUAUGUUGAAUAGCAGCGAGAGAGCUAGUGGUUUAGUCUUGUACCUAUAUGGCUCGAUAAAUCAAUCAAAUAUCACAUAUAUUCUUCAUCUUUAAUCAACACUCCUUAAUCCUUAUCAAGAUGCUUUGGUGGUUGAGUCAUAAUGGUUCAUUUAUUAUGAUCGUCCUUGUUUUUGUUGCGUGAUAAGUUCAAUGAUAUGAUAACUACAUGAUUUUGUUAAUAAUGAAAAUUUUAAAUUUCUGUGGGGUAUUGUUGGUUUGGUUUUGUGUGGGAUGGCAGUUAUCUUGUCUUGGCAUAUCUGACUAGAGGGCCAGGAUUUCUGUCAUAUAUAGAAACAAUGUUUCAUGGAUUCCUUUCAGUUUCAGACAUAAUGCAUGCGUUGUGUUUCUGUGAUCUACACUGAUCACAUGCGUUUAUUCUUUCUAUUGUUUAAUACCCUUUUUGGUUUUGAAUUUUAUCUAAAUUAUGUCGUUCCUUUUUGGUUUUGAGUUUUGCUGGAAAACAAGUGAUGUAUAUUUCUUUAAUACUGUCUGAUUUCAAUAUUGACACUGAACUGUCGGCCAAGGUUCCCUUGAUUUCGUUAGUUUGACAGAAACUAACUUUAAAAACUUAAUAGAUUUUGUCUCAUCCCAAUUGUUUUAAAAUUCAAGUAUCCUACUUUGAGUAUUAUUGUCUGAAGUAAAGCUUUUACUGUUAUACACAUUCAGGAGUUUGUGUCCUUGCCAAUGUUGUUACACUACAUAAUUUUUACAAAGGUACUUCUCACUCUAGGUGUAGCCUGUAGGUACCGUUACAUCUGUCUUGCUCCAAUCUAGAAUCAUUGUUAUAGUAUUAUCAAAUGUCUAGGAUCAGUUUUAACAAUUACAUAUCUGAACGUUUUUUGGUCUGAGUUUUAGUGGAUGCAUCUUAAUUUUAGUCAUCCUGAAACAGAUUCAGGAUCAGUUUUUCUUUAUUUCUAGUAAACAAUGAUAGAGUCCAUGAAUCCUUCCUCGUUGUACAUCUUUAAUUACUUGAUUGCAUGAAUGUUGAACCAAGUUCCUAGUUAGAACAUGAAUUCAUAUUCAAAAUUAUAACCUGAUAUUCAAAAUUUCAUUGUGCAUUCAGGAGCCUUUUGUAAACAUCCCAGAGGAUACAAUCCGUGAAGCGCUAAAAGUUGUCCUUGGUACUGCAAGAAAUUCAUCAUUUUUAGUUUCAUACAGACCAGAAAUACAGCACUGUUAUAUGCUUACAUUUAUUUACUUUUCUGCAAUGCAGAUGUAAGGAAUCAUCCUGUCUUAAUUCAUUGUAAACGAGGGAAGGUAUGUGCACUAUUGAUUGAUCUCAUAUGGAUUCAUUGCCGGAUUUUGAAUAAUCCGUGACAGUUUUUAAGUUGUUAUUGGCUGCUAACUUCUUUGAUCGUAUUUUCAGCAUCGAACUGGUUGUCUUGUGGGAUGCUUGAGAAAAUUGCAGAGGUGGUGCCUGACAUCUGUAUUUGACGAAUACCAGCGGUUUGCAGCUGCGAAAGCCAGAGUUGCAGAUCAAAGGUUCAUGGAGAUGUUUGAUGUUUCUAGCUUGAAACAUCUACCGAUGCCAUUUUCAUGUUCAAAGAGGUAAAAUCAGCCAAGUAUUAUUGAAUGGCUUUUGCUUCUUCUUUUAGUCAAAGAAGAGAAUCCUAGGUCCUUUCUACUUUGUCGGAAUAAAUAGGAAAAGGUGAUGAUGAGUUCCUGGUAUGCAUUUCAGCGGAAAAGGAAUUAUUUCUUCUUUUUUUUCCUUAUUCAUAAAUAAUAAGCAGCCUAUAUAUAAUCUCACUUUAUGUGCUUUGAGUGUUAGUACCCUUUUUUCCUCACAUCUCACACCACCCUCUCUCCUCCCUUUCCCUUUUUUUAUUAUAAUUAUUUUAGUUCUCCUUCCACUUUUAUUUUCAUUAAAUUACUAAGCUGAUGCCGAAAACAACUUGACUCUUGGCAUUGCAAAUCAAGAUGGUCCAUGAAUCUUGUACUUGGGAUGACUCAGAAUUUGAGAGUUGAUCUAAUUCUAAUUCCGUCAUAAUUAGUUGUGGGGUCCAGAAUUGGAAUUCUAAAAAAAAAAAAAAAUUCAGUUUUAAUAUUUGUAUUUUAUUGAAAAGUAAAAUACAGUGCAAUAGUACAUGGAAAGCUGUAUAUUCGAGCAGAGUGAAAAAGAUUGAUGAUCCAAAUAAAAAUGCUUGAGGGAAUCUGAGGGAAGGUUCAGUUCAGGCGUAUGGUACGUACUGUAAAUUCGUGCUUUUCCAAAAUUACGCAAACCGUCGUUUACUGCAUAAUGUCUUGGAAGUGAUAUUUUUGAUAGCGCCAAGGUGUCCAGUGUUUGGUUCACAUUUGACGGUCAAAAAAGCACUUUUAUAUUUCUUUUAGACCACGCUAAACAGGGUCUAAAUUCAAAUUUCAUUUUUUCAAAAUACAACUAUUCAUGUAUUUUUAGGGCUCAAAAUUUAAUUGUUUAAGAAUAAUCAACCUCUAAUCAUUGUUGUCGUUAAUUUUACUAAAAAUGAUUUUUGCUUCAAUUUAAUUUUAUGAACAUCUUAACCUAAAAAAAUUAAAAUUCUAAAAUAUAAUAUAAUUUCACUUGAAAAUAAAAACAAGCACAACAACAUUUUAUUUCAUAGACUUCGAAAGAAAAACAAGUAGCACACAACUUAUAUUAAAAACAAUGGAACAUGAAUUAUUUGGUUAGUUGCAAUGCGGUCACAAUAUCUACAUCAUCCUAAUCCAUAGCCCUUGCAGCAGCUACUUUUGCGUAUGCCGACCCUUCUUUGAAGCCAUUGUCAUAAUUAUCUUCCAUUUUUUUCUUUAUAUUGUUCUAGUAUUAAAUGAAUUGUGUCAUUGCCACAUGAACUACAAAUUUCUCUUUGAUGAUCUUGGUGUUGGACUUUUGAUAUAGCUUCUCGGCUUGGAUUUAUGAACUUUGAGUGAAGUCAGACUCUAGGAACAUUUGUUCAAUGCAUUUCUUGAUUAUUACAGGAUGGGGGCAUCACCAAUCAAAUGUUAGGUUCCAUUGGUAUGGUUGAUUAUGUUGCAUAUGGAGGUAGAUAUUUAUAGGCAAAUGGAUGGGUAAAUUGGUUUUUUACUUUUACUUCAUUAGAUUCCUUUAUCCUUUAUCCUUCUUCAAUAAUGUUUUGAACUCUUGCCUACCUCCACUUGUCUUCUUCAAUUAUUUUCUGAACCAUUUCGCAUCUCCUAUGGUCUUGUUUCAAUCAUGUUAUGAACCAUUGCUCAUCUUUGUCCAUCUCACUUUAUUGGAUUCCCUUAUCUUUCCCCAUCUUUUCAUAUCUUCAUUUAAUUAUUUUCUAAACUCUUUCCAAUAUCAUAUUGUCUUGUUUCAAUUAUGUUCUGAACCAUUGCUCAUCUUUGUCCAUCUCACUUUAUUGGAUUCCCUUAACUUUCCCAAUCUUUUCAUAUCUUCAUUCAAUUAUGAUCAUACAUGUAGGUCAUCUCAUUUUGUCAUGUUGUCAUUAUUUCCUCUCUUCCUCCUUAUCCCUUUGUAUCUUAUCCUGAUUUCCUAUCACCUUCAUUUUAUCCUUUUUGUCUAUUUAAGAAGUGUUAUUCUACUCAAUUGAAUACACAAUCUCCUUCAAUCUCAUUUUCCUUCUUACAAUGAAUUCACGUGGGAAGGCUAUACAAAAUUUAUUUGGUUGAGAUAAACUUCAACACAUUUUCCUUUCUUUUGUUCAUUCUUCUAUUUAUCUCGUCCGAACGCCCUUGGAGUGGGCAUGACCACAUCAUCUUGAUCUCCCUCCAACUUGAUUGUAUUGCCACUGUGAGAAGAAUCUCUGAAUGUUUGUGUAGGAGAUUCACAUAGCUCGUUCUACUUUGGGCAAUCUUUUAGGAUUUGGCAAGCAAGAUACAACUUGAAAGACCUAUUCAGAGGCUUAUUAUCAUUCAAGAAAAGUAUUUUUGCAUGCAUAUCCUACGCACGAAAUAAAAUAUAAAGCAAGUUAAUAAUUGAAAAGAAUUAGAAUUAUAAAUUUAAGCAUUGAAUAAAAUGGGUACUCACCACAUCUUCAAGAUGGGAGCCACUCACAUGCCUUGCAUUGGCCUUUGGGGUGUUCGCAUGUCGGCUCCAGCCAUGCCUGGAUCAUUUUUCAAAAAUUUGUAGUACACACACAACCAAAAUGAGUUGUUUGAUUGAUUAGUGCCAAUAACACCAUCUUUAGAGACAAAAAUCCACUAUUUGCACAAUGCCUCAUCUUUUUGUGGUUUCCAAUUCACACAUCUUUAGGAUUUUGGGGCCAUUCUAAAAAAUAAUGAAAAGAGAAUGAACAAAUAUAACAAAUGGAGAAAAGAAAAAAAUUAUUUUGGGUGGAUUAUUUAACAAAUGAAUGGAUAUUUAUAGAGUUUGGGAUGAGUUUUAGGGUUGGAUCUUAUUUAGAUUUAUUAGAAAAAUUAUUUUGACCGUUGGAUUUAAAUUUCAGCUGGUUGCAAUGAAAUUUUAUCGUUGAGAUUGCCUAAACUUAUCAUAAUCGUUGCAUUAGAAAAAACAAAAUAACUUAAUCUUUCAAAUGGGGUCGUAGAUUCCAACGACUCAUUCACCAUGUGCUCCCACGUGUCACGCUAAAGCAAAUGGAGAGUAGUCAACUUUCUGUCACACGCGGCACACUCCAUUUUCCUCUUCACAUGGGCUGUGCAUCAUGGGUUGUGCUUCACACAAAAUUAUUAGUCCAGGCAAAACCCAUACUGGAAUUCCGUCCAGAAUUCCACCCAUCUCAAAAUUCACCCCCUAAAAUACAUGGGUUGUAAAUGGAUUUUAGACCCAAAAUUCAAAAUUUGAGUUUCCAACCUUUGGGUUGGAGAUGAUCUUAAGAGGUGCUAACAUUGCAGACCUCAACUUAGAAAAGUUAGUUAAAACGGAUAUGCUCCCCACUCUGCACCAGAGUUCGAAUCCCUGUAAUUUUUUUGAGAGAAAAGCGAUAAUUGUAUACAUAAAUUAGGCAUAAAGACCAUCAGCCACAAGGGCAAAUACAAAUGCCCAAAAAGGGGUAAUACAAAUAUGUAAACAUAGUAACCACAUAGAGGCCACAAAAGGCCAGAGAAAUGUCGACAUAAAAACUGCAUGCUUGAACAAACCUGACAUGAAUCAUAAUGCCCAAAAAUACAACUACAACUUUUAACUCUCACAAGUACAAAAUACAAUAUAGACUAGAAAACAAUCAAACACCCAACUCACAAGGAGUUGAUGCAAUUAUUACAAAAUAAGACAACUGUAAACAAACAACCAAAAACCAACAGAGCCUCUACCGACAUUGUUGCCACCGCCACCAUAGAUGCCGUCGUUGCCUUAGAGACAAAGAACACACCGAGAUUGCAGCUAGUCAUUUAAAUUAGAUUAAAGUAGAAUAUCGCUUGUAUAAAAAAAUAAAAAAAUAAAAUUGUAGAGACACUUUUAGGUUUUAAUGACGACUACUUUAUACUUCACUUUUAAAUUUUGUAAAGUUAUGUCUUGAAAUAAACUAAAAUUGUCCUCAUUUAAGAAGAAUUUCCAAAACAGAACUAUUCUACUUUAAAUAGACAAAUACGUAAAACCAAUAGUCUAUUGACAUGCGUGUUAAUAAAACUAAAUGGGCAAAAAAUGCUAACAAAAAGUCAAAAAAACACUCGUAAGGAUGCCCUACGCAAAACAAGGAAGGAUUCCUCUUCUCGAAAUCAUGAUGGCAGCAGGUGUGUGGUAUGUCUGGUUCUUGUCUUUUAAUUAUAUUGUCUCUGAUUAUAUUACGAUGUUCUACUUUGCAAGACAAGGAAACAAAAAAGGUCUAGUUGGCUGUUUUUAAGGUUCUUGAAGGUGUAGUUAUCAAGCUUCUCUACAAUGACAUAAAAUUAGCAGAAAACUUUGAUUUUAUAUAAAUGUUUGUUUCAAUAACCUUCACUUUAGAUUAUGAAUUGGAUCUUUCUUAGAUUCUGAGAUGCUUUCAGGUUCCCAGUUAUCAUUAAAACUUGAAGGUAGGUACUUAAUGGACGCUCCACUUGCACAAGUUGAACCCUUUUGUUGUGGGGAUGUUCCAAGUUACUAUAAAGAUACAUUAUUGUUGUGAUCGUCAUGAUCAUGUUAGGGAAUGAUUUUAUAUUUCAAAAUUCUCUAGAUGAUUCUUUGCUUGGUUCAAAAGAAACUUCUCAUUGUAUUGACAAUCAUGAAUGCUAAGGAAAGGAUGCUCAGCUCAUGUGUGUGAGAAACUUACAUGAUCCGGGAUAUAUGUAAUCAUUAUCUAUUUCUUUCUCACGUGACAUCUCGUAUUAUGAGAGAAAUAGAGUGUAGGUUUGUAUUCUCGCGUUUCAUGUAAACCAUUAAUUUAUUACAGGGGAUAUCAUUCUAUGGAACAACUUAUCUUUCCAUAACCCGUAAAGUAGUUUGAGCUGCCAUUCCCUCCCGGCUUUUCUUCUGUCGAUGUAAUUAAGCCAAAAUAACUUAGUCUUGGUUGCAGAUCCUGAUAUCAUUGGCACAAAUAUAAAGGUCUUUAUGGUGAUUUUCCCCUCUUGAAAGCUCCUUUUUUGUUUUAUAAUUUGGUUUUAUGCUUUUGAUCAUCCUCUGUUGCUGCUUUUGAAAACUUCAGCUUCAGAUGUUCACCAUUUCGGCAUGGCUGCCGCUAUUUGGCCACAGAUUUUAUAGCCCUUGUUUUCUUUUUUCUUGGUUGAAGAAGUCCUUGUUUUCUAAGGUGACAGCUUUGGAUAAUUAAAAUAUAGUUCAUGCGAAAACUUUGGUCACACCCGUAAUUCCUUUAAACAAACAAGCUUUCCUGCUUCUAGUAAAACUCAAUUUCCUCUUAAGCUGUUGAAAUUAGAUCCAAACUGAAAUUAGCUUCCACUGCUUUCAUGGCUUCAAAUCUUGGUUCGUUGGCCUGGAACUUAAGGCCAUCAUAGAGCUUCAUAUAGUCUUCACACACGAAUUUCGGGCAAACUUGAUUCUUCUUCUCUGCUUCUUUCUCCACCAGUGUUGGUGCAGGGUAGAUGACAGCAACACUGCCAGGGUUGUAGAAGGAAGCUAUUGACAUUCUGGUGCUAUCAGUUUGGGCAAUCACUCUGUGCACCACACUCUUGUACUUCCCAUUAGUGAUCACCUAUACUACAGCGGAAUUCAAAAUUGUAAGUUUUUUUUUUAUAUAUGUAAGCAAAUAGACUUGGGCAUGAAGUAACAUUAAUUUGGAAAGUUGCGUUAUUUGGGGUGAAUAAAGGCAUGUUUGGCAUUCAACUGGAAUCCAACUUUUUAAAUUUAAAAACAGAAUUUGAGUUCAGAACAAAGAAAACUUGUUUGGUAGCCUUAUUUUUAAAAACUCAAACUCAAGAACAACUAAAAAACACCCUAAUUAUUAAAAAUAAAAAUAUCUGUUUUUUUAUUUUUUUUUUAACAACCCAUAAGUUCUCAAAUUUUUAAGAUUUGAAAACAGUUUUCAAGUUGCAUACUAAACAAGUUUUUGAAUCUUAAAAAUAGAUUUAAGAACUCAUUGUUUUUAAGAAAAAUCAAAGUUUUUGAGUUCCCUAUUUAAAUAGGAUACUAAACGCCCCCUAAUUUUAAUACCUCAAGUUGGUCAAGAAUGAUAACAAUGGAGUGGCGCAUGGGGGACACAUCAAUCCAUUGGCCAUCUCCACUGACCUUGUCAUCUUGGAAGAGCAGGAUCAUACAGCCGGCAUCGGUGUGUGCCCGGAGACCCUUGAUCAGCUCAGGGUUGGGACAUUGAGGGUAGUUGCUAACCUGGGUGCCAAACGCUGGCCCAUUUGUUCCAUAGAAGGCCUUCCACUGUGUCUAAAAAGUCAUGACUCACUAGCAACAAUAUUUGUGGACCCAAAAUUUAAAAUUAAUCAGACGAAACGGACAUUAAUGACAAUUGAAUUACAACAAAAAUAUUUUGAUAAUAUAACUUUAAGUGGGGGUAUUUUAGGGAUCUGAAAGUAUAAAAUCUGAUACAUCAAGCUUAAUUAGCUAAGAAUAAAUAAGUUUAAAGGGGAUAAAGUCAAAUUUUCUAUAAAAAUUAUCAUAUAGGCUUGGUCGACCAAGGCUUGGCUCCUUAAAAUUAAAGAGGAGUUCCUCCUAACAACCGUUGGGAUUUUGGCACUUGUUAAAUUCAAGCAACAUUGACAAAGAUCCAACAAAAAAAGAAAAAAAAUGUUAUAAAAAUUUAACAUGUGUCAAAACCUCAUUGAUUGUAAGGAGGAGCUCCUCUUUAAUUUUAAGGAGCCAAGCAUUUCCCAUCUUUGUUUGGUCAUUUUGCCUUGUUUUGCUUACUAGCACAAAUAAAAAAGAGAAACUCAAUUUUCUAUUUAGAUUUACUAACAUAUGGAUAUUGAAAUGAUUCUAAUUCACGACGAUUAUGUUAAUUAAUAAGUAAAAGCACAAAUAAUUAAAUCGAUUAAUGUGAUAGGUAAUUAUAUAUGUAAUUCAGUAACAUCUUACCCUUUUUGAAUUACUUUAAUUAGUAAUUGUAUGAUAAUUAUUAUUUAAUAUAUUAAAAAUUAUAUAAAAAGUCCACAAAAUAAUUAAUUUCUAUUUAUUAAGUCUUUUGUGAAACCAUUUGGGUGUCUUAUUUAAAUUUCUUCAUAGCCCAAGAGCCGUAUUCAUUUCUAUUAGGCCAUUACUCGAGUAUCUACUGCCCCUUUUAUUUUUUACUUUUUCACUGUUAUUACCCGUAUAAACAUUCUAGCACUUUCACGCUUAAUAAUGUAUUACACACGUACGCACGUAUUUCUCAUGUUUAAUAUACUUAUUUUUUACAAAAAUUUCAAUAAGACACACACAAUUCGCGUAUUAUACACCCAAUUCUCACAUAUUAUUGAAUAAAAAUGAUAUAUAUAUAUAUAUUUGGCUACACUAAGUUUUCCCCUAAUUGUCUUGUAAAAAUAGUAUAGCCGGGCGGCUAUACUCGUUUUUCUUAAUUUCUUUUUUAAAAAAUCGUAUAGCCUCACGGCUGUACAUGUUUGACACGUGGCGCAUCGGUGAUGGCACACAUAUAUGAAUCGUAUAGCUGCCCGGCUAUACUAGAUUUUUUUGAAAUACCUUUUUUAAAAAAAAGAAAAUAGUAUGGCCGCCCGGCUUUACUGGUUUGACAGGCGGCGCCUAUGCGCUGGGAUAGUACAGCCGAGCGGCUGUACUUUUUUAAAUUAAAAAAUAUAUAUUAAAUUCAAAAAAUAUAUAAUUAGUUUCUUUACUUUCUUCUUUUGGCCUACUCUUUAAUUCAAUAUAUGUUUGAAUUACUUUGUUUAGUAAUUGUAUGCUAAUUAUUAUUUAAUAUAUUAAAAAUUAUAUAAAAAGUCCAUAUAAUAAUUAAUUUCUAUUUAUUAAGUCUUUUGUGAAACCAUUUGGGUGUCUUAUUUAAAUUUCUUCAUAGCCCAAGAGCCGUAUUCAUUUCUAUUAGGCCAUUACUCGGGUAUCUACUGCCCCUUUUUUAUUUUUUACUUUUUUACUGUUAUUACCCGUAUAAACAUUCUAGCACUUUCACGCUUAAUAAUGUAUUACACACGUACGCACGUAUUUCUCAUGUUUAAUAUGCCUAUUUUUUACAAAAAUUUCAAUAAGACACACACAAUUCACGUAUUAUACACCCAAUUCUCACAUAUUAUUGAAUAAAAAUGAUAUAUAUAUUUGGCUACUCUAAGUUUUCCCCUAAUUGUCUUGUAAAAAUAGUAUAGCCGGGCGGCUAUACUCGUUUUGCUUAAUUUCUUUUUUAAAAAAUCGUAUAGCCGCACGGCUGUACAUGUUUGACACGUGGCGCAUCGGUGAUGGGCACACAUAUAUAAAUCGUAUAGCCGCCCGGCUAUACUAGAUUUUUUUGAAAUUUUUUAAGAAAUAGUAUAUCCGCGCGGCUCUACUCGCCUCUACCUUUUUUUUUAAAAAAGAAAAUAGUAUGGCCGCCCGGCUUUACUGGUUUGACAGGCGGUGCCUAUGCGCUGGGAUAGUACAGCCGAGCGGCUGUAAUGUUUUAAAUUAAAAAAUACAUAUUAAAUUCAAAAAAUAUAUAAUUAAUUUCUUUACUUUCUUCUUUUGGCCUACUUCUUUAAUUUAAUAUAUGUUUGAAUUACUUUGUUUAGUAAUUGUAUGUUAAUUAUUAUUUAAUAUAUUAAAAAUUAUAUAAAAAGUCCACAUAAUAAUUAAUUUCUAUUUAUUAAGUCUUUUGUGAAACCAAUUUGGGUGUCUUAUUUAAAUUUCUUCAUAGCCCAAAGAGGCCCAAGGCACAGGUCUCUGAUUAAUAUAAUUAUUAUUAAUGAAAGUCAAAUUUAAAGCCUAGCCUAUAGCCAUGCCCAUUGGCCCAAGUUUUCAAUGUUAAGCACACUUAUCCAAUGAUCAUGGUGCUUUCUUUAUAAACACAUUUAUAGGGGUGUAGAUUUUGGAUGUGGGAUUUUCACAUAGGGCACCUCAAAAGAUAGGCCUUCAGAGAAAUCUAUAUUUUAUUGUUGGUACAAUCUGAAAUUGUAUUUAAAGCCCUUCAAGGUCUCCAUGAUGCAUCUGUAAAUGCCCUCUAAGGUCUCCAUGAGAAAUUAUUGUAUGGGGGGCAGAGUUAUGGUUUUGAUGUGGACUUCCAUUCUUAGUAAAUAUAGGAACCAAAUGGAAAAGAUACCGCACAAAUUUUACCUUGCCUUAAUAAUGACCAGAUGAGCUGGAAGGUUUACACCCCAUUCCAAUGGGCUGUUACAAACCAAUACCUCUGUAAUUAUCCAUGACGGGCUCUUGAUGGUUUCUGCUUCCUUGAUCUUCACUUUGUUUCCUGUCUUGACCGUUUGGAGCAGUGCUUUCAUGCCCCUUCACCUUUUCAUAGGAAACAGCAACCUCUUUGCAUUUGGCUGAUGAUACAGAGUUUGAACUCUGCCCCACUUCCAUUUAUCUUCUAACCUGAUAGGAUAACCUUCUCCAAUGAAACUUAAAUCUGGUAUUUUGUUAUUCAAAACUGGCAUUUGCACCAUUAGAUGGUUUGAAUAAAGAAUUUGUCAUGGCCUUAUUGCCCUUGUUGAUUUUCGGAUCCUUCCUGUUUUGAUGUUCGUUUCUUUUUUAUGGAUUUGACCUCAUGCUGAGACUCAUUUAUAAAAACCUCAUACACAAGAUGGUAUACAUUACAAGGGUCAAGGGUCUCAGAAGGAGCCUAACCUGUGCUUUUGAAUGAUAACGUUAAUCAGUUCCCCUUCCGGUUGGCUUCUCAGAGUUUGCCUGGAAUGACGUCGAAAUUCAUGGCCGCCCUUAUGUCUCCACCGAAAGAGAAGAUAAAGCCAAAUGAUACAUCAAUUGAAUUUGUACUUGCAUGCCAUGACAACAUCUCCCAAUCUGUAUGUACGUAAAACAAACACAGAAGAUCUGAAUGCUGGUGACAAUAUAGUACAGAGAGAUAGAGAUAGGGUGAUAUGUAUUCUGUAUGUGGAGAGAGAGAGAGAGAGAGAGAGAGAGAGAGAGAGAUUAUUUGUGUAUUGUGGUUUACACAGGUUUCUUGGCCUGCAAAAGCAAAAUCCAUUUGUAACCAUAUGAACUCUGAAGGGAGAAACAAAGUAUAUAAGAAAGGGGUAGGGGGAUUAAGACCUCAUUAACACUUACCAUUUCUGAGAUGGGAGUGAAGAAGAAGAAGAAAUAAAUGUGGUUUGAUGGCUGGCUGGCUGCCCCUAUGAUUGGGUGGCCUAACUUAGCUUACCCUAGUCUUAGUCUAGUACGGCAGUCAGGCAAGCCUUACAUGCAAACAGCGUGAUCCUAAUAGGCAGUCCAUUUGAAUGUGAAUGUGUUUCUCACGUCAUUUUUAUUUAUUUUCGAGUUUGAAAACUGCUUGUGAACUGUGACUGUGUAAGUGAAUUCUGGUGCUCGUCAAUCUCCCAUAUCCAAAACUGGAUUGACUUAAAACAUAACAAAAUAAAAUUAGGCCCAAAAGCCAACGAAAUCUAGCCCAGUAAAAAAAGGCAUUGGCUUGCAGACCAAAGUUCGAUGUGGGUGUGAGAAACCCCCCUCCCCGUGUAGCCACUGCCACUGAAUUCGGCUUGCAAAUAUCCAUUCAAGUAGGAAGCAGAAUAACAAAAUGAGAAAAGAAAAUUCUAAGCAUUUCCAUUAUAAAAUUAGAGUUACAGCCUUCAAAGUAACAAAACAAUAUUGUAUCAAAUUACUUGUCUUCUUGUAGUUGGAUCUCCGAGUAUCAUUACGAGGGACAAGAGUCUCCAAUCACUUUUGAGCCUCAAUUGCUACGUUCACCCACAAUUUGAAAUUCCUCAAGCAUAAAUGGUCUUCAAGUCCUGCUUCCAGGAUAGAAAUAUUCGACACUGUUUUCCUUUACUUUGAAUUGGAAAUUAGACAGCUUAUUUCUUGAUCUCUCCCUCCCACUGUUCAGGACUGUCAACUGCAACCAACAAGAACAAUGAGGAUCAUAACUUUCGUAAUCUCGUUCAAUUGUAUGGAUAUCAAAACCAUUAAGAGGAGACUUUUGGGAAGUAAUACUAGACAGGAAAAGUACACUUGCUACAAGCGUAAUUGGCAGGUCACCAGCAGCAAGCCGGCAAGCAAUACUAAUGGAAAUAGUUCUCACAAAUUUUCAAUUGCUAACACAGGAUUGUGAUCUAGUGGACUCGACGGAGAAGAUAUAACUUUAGGCUCUUUAUUUGUUAUGGAUGCAGGUAGCAGCUCAAAUAUCUUGACUUGGAAAGACAGACUUCAAAUAGCAAUAGACGCUGCACAAGGUCACUAGAAGAUUUGUAACAAUAUUUUUGUUAGCUAGCACCUCCUUAAUUUCUUUUCUUUUGUUUUCUUUUAAUUCAAUUUUUGGAAUGUGUUGUAUCAACUUGAAAUGCAGGAUUGGAGUGUCUGCACUACGGCUGUAAGCCACCAAUAAUCCACAGGGAUGUAAAAUUAACAAACAUUUUGCUGAAUGAAAAUGUCCAAGCCAAGCUAUCUGAUUUUGCACUAUCCAGAACUUUCCCCUCUAAUGAUGACACUCAUAUAUUGACCGUCGUUGCUGGCACUCCCGGCUACCUCGACCCUGAGUAAGUAAUUUUUUUUGUUUUUUUAAAGUUUAUCCAUCCCUUAAUUGGAGCAUUCAAAUCAAAUAUCAGAAACUAAAAAAUGUGAUGUUUGAUUUGCAAAUGGUUGUAACUUGUACUUGAAUGUACAACCUAGCAAAAAGUUUGAACGAGAAAAGUGAUGUUUAUAGCGUCGGGGUUGUGUUGUUGGAAAUUAUUUCCUGUCGACCUGUUUACUCUUCAAGGGAACGUGAAAGAAUUCACAUCAGUCGGUGGGUGAGCCCAAUGCUUGCAGAAGGAGACAUUUACGGCAUCGUUGAUCCAAGGUUGGAGAGACACUUCAACACGAACACUGUAUGGAAGGCUGUGGAGAUAGUUUGGCAACAGAGAUUGCUGGAACAAGGCAGAGCCAUAAAACUGAGUUAACAAAUUCCAUUGAGAUAAGGUCUGAUAGUUGGAUCUCUAUGCUAAAUCCCUCGGUUAGGUAGUUGAACUAUUUGCUUAGCUAGGGAGUUGGGAUGCAUUAGUUUCCUCCAUUUUCUUUUUAGAUCAAUUAUUUUUUUAUGGGUAAAAUCAAUAGUAAUAUGCAUAUGCCAUUGGCAUUGGCAUUAAAGUUAAUGAUCCUUUUGUUAAGCUUAAUUUGUUGUAUUAAUAUUAAUAUGUAAUAACUAAUUGUAAGAGAUUGAUAGAAAACAUCUAUGCUCUAUUAAAUUAAAGUUGGUGAGAGAGGCGUGUACUAAUAUGAAAAGGUUUGAUGUGUAUAAAGAAAAGUGUACGAAGCUGUGCAAGAAGACUUGAGAUGAGAGGGAGAAUAAUAAAAGUCUCCUCCAAGAAAUGAAAUAGAAGCUAACCGAGAGCUUACAAAAAACUCCUCUGUUUUUAUCUUCAGUUUUUCCUCCUUUGCAUUCCAUUGCCUUAUGCUUGAUAAAUUGUGCAGCUAAGUGUGUGAGUGUGCAUAUAUGGGUUAAAAUCCAUAUUCCAACACCUCUGACAUGUUGUGUGUUCUGAUCAAUAUCUAGGUAAAAAGUUUUGGCAUUUCUUAUUCAAAUACAAAAUUCCUCAACCAAAAAGGAAAAAAUGAAAAAACUUUUAACAAAUUAAUCUUUUGGUGCCUAGGAUUGGAUUGGAUUAUUGGUGUAGUUGGCGUGAUACAAGUCAUGAUGUGUAAGUCUCACAUUGGAGUAAUACAUACCACAAUUAUCACAGUUUGAAAAUUAGGAUUUGUUACUCACGUCAUCCAUGCUAGUUGAGCUUAGCAUAUAGUUGAUAAGUGCUUUUCUUUUUCUUUUGAGGGCCUUUUCUAUUGAGAGGGGCGAUAAUAUACUAAACUCACAUACACAAUACGAAUGCUAGGACUCGAACUCAGGACCUUACUUGGGAGAGCAAUUACUCCAAAUCACUACACUAGUGGGUCCUUUGAAGUGCUUUUCUUUUUCUUGAUAGUGCUUAGAAGAUGCAAUAUUAAUAAAUCCACCCAUUAUUAUUAGUAGUUUAAAAAUGAUGGGAUAUUAACAAUUAGUAGUGGUUUAAGACUGAAAAAAAAAAAAACUAAUAAUGGAUCUUUCAAGCCUAUUGACCCACGCAAGUCAUGAUUAAUCUAAUGGUAAUGGAUCUUUCAGCGACCUCUUCUUGCAAGGAGGAUAUGCAUUUCAAGUUUCAACUGGAACAACCGUGGACUUCGGUUGUUGAGUCAACAUCUUGUGUAGAGGAAGGGACUCAUAUAUUGACAGGUGUUGCUGGCACUCCAGGGUACCUUGCGCCCGAGUAAGUUUUUUGUUUUCAGUCUGGGUAAUGAUAUAUCAAUAUAAUCCCAACGCAUUUUAAAUUCUAACUAAUAUUAAUUUGGUAUUUGUCCUUAAUAUUCAAAAUAUUAGUAAUGUCACUGAAGCAAAUUAAAGAUAAAGCAAGGACAUGAAUGAAGAAAGAAACCAUAUGUAAAUGGACGUUCUAGCCAAAUUCUUUUGCAGAAGAUAUGACUUGAGUUGCAUGGUUGCUUGAAGGUACAAUAUGUCAAACAGGCUAAAUGAGAAAAGUGAUGUUUACAGCUUUGGGGUUGUACUGUUGGAGAUUAUCGCUUGUCGACCUGCUUUUAUAAACACACAUGAGAGAAUUCACAUAAGUAAAUGGGUUGGUUUGUUGCUUCCAAAAGGAGACAUUUACAGCAUUGUUGAUCCAAGGUUAGAGAGAAGUUUCAAUGUUAGCUCUGUCUGGAAAGCUGUGGAAUUAGCAAUGGCAUGUGUAUCUAAACACCCCAUCAACAGGCCAUCCAUGAGCCAGGUAUUGGUAGAACUAAAGGAGUGUUUGGCAACCGAACUGGCUCGAACAAAGCAGAGCGGCGAUCACACUGAAAUAGGAAAUUCCAUUGAGAUGAUGUCUCAGAAUUCAAUCGCUAUGCUACGUCCCUCAUUUAGGUAGCAGUACGUACUAAAAUAAUGGGAUUGGAAUAUAUUAUUUCAAUCGUUGCAGGUUGUGUAUUAUGUAUGUAUUGCAAAUGUUUCAUAAUCAAUAAUGUAUCUUCUUAUCAAGAAUAUGGACCAUUUUUGGAAAGUCAAAAGAUCCUAAAUGGUUGGGGGAGUGUGACUCUUCUCUCAUAUUCUUUUACUUAUAAUUCCAGUAUUUUUAGAAUCGACGGAGUUAAGUUUGUUCGAAGUUAUCCUUUGUUAUUAUUCGGCUGCAUCACAAAGAGGAGGAUAUAAAGCGAAGGGAGAACAAAAAGCAACAUGAGGGAAAAUGCCAAGAAGGUGACAAGUUGGAAAAAGUAUGCCAAAGACAGCAUAAUUUAAUAACAUUUGGUGGCAAGCAAUAAUCAUACUAAUUAAUUAGAACAACAAGAGUAAUAAUAAGUGCAAACACAACCAAUAUUGAAGUCAUAUCACAUUCAUAUAAGUUGAAUUCUUUGCUCCUAACAAAGUUAGACAAAAUGUUAAUUGACUCACAUGUAGUCAUCUAAAUCUUUUUUUUAAAGGCAACGUAAGGAGAUUCUUUUUUUCACAUUAUGUGGCAUUCAAUAUGUAUGUGCCUACAAUGAUUUUAGAUAUAUUUAGUUACAUACCUAUUCUUAGCACUAGUGUUAUAGAUAAAUAUUAUACCAUUUAAUUUCUAGGGUUAUUUGUAGCAAUGGUCCCUCAACUAUACUCGAAGUUACAUUUUGGUCAUUCAACUUCAAAAAUAGUUACAGAGGUCACUCAAUUAGGUGUUGUGUUGCACCAUUAGUCCCUAUACCGUUAGAGAGACUUGACGGUAUGGACUAAUGGUGCAACACAACACCUAAUUGAGUGAUCUCUCUGUAACUAUUUUUAGAGUUAAGUGACCAAAAUAUAACUCCAAGUAUAGUUGAGGGACCAUUACUACAAAUAACCCUAGAAGCAAUGCCUUAGAAGCAACAACGAUCAAAGAGCUAAUUCAUGUCACACUGCGAAACUAUAUAUACAUGUUUGUCUGGUGAACACAGCCUUCGGAGUUCUAUUUAUAUCAGCGAUAGAACUCAGGCCUUUGCCUAAUGCUUCUUAUGGAACACAAAUGCCGACUGAUACCUUGGCACUUGCGGUGCAGUAUGACACUGGUCCAACGGCACUUAAUUAUACACUACAUAGGUGAGUGCAAAAUCUCCCUGUUCAUGAUCAAUAGAUUAACUAAUAACUAAUGACCGAUGAAAUAUAUAUUUCUCCUGAUUGUCUACGUUUUAUCUGUGUCUAUGAUUUGGAUGUCAUGGACGAAAAUACAACUUGAGUGUACUAGUUUAGAGACCAUUGCAACAAUUAAGUCCAAAAUAUAUUAAUAUUAAUACAUAAGAGUAUUGUACCUGCAGCUAAUAUACGAUGUUGCAAAUUUCCAUUGGCCACUUACCCACAAACAAGUGCCACAGUGUCGCCUUCAACGCAAUACCCAAUUAGAGAAACCAAAUUCGUAUGGUGAACUCUCAUCAACAAUUUCACAUGUUUGAGUUGAAAUUAGUCCCACAUUGGAACACUAGAGUUCCUUGGAGGUCUUUACAAGACUUACUCCUGCAAAUAGAGUAGUUUGGAUUGGCCAUGCAAGUGGUCCAAUUGAGUGGCUUGUGGGUAUGACCUUUACGGUUAAUUAAUAUAUAUUUAAUUAAUCAAAAGAUUGGCCUUCGGCCUUGGGGCUCUUGGGCUCUGUGAUUUAAAUUAAACCCGAUUAGUUAAUUAAUUAUUUUUAAAUAAUGUUUUGAGUUUGUCCUAUAAAUUCGCAGAGAACAUUCAUAUCAUCAUUCUUGUAUAGCCGCAUAGAUAAACCCAAAAAUUUUGCUAGAAAUGAAAGCCCUAAUGCAAGGACUUUGAUUUAGAGAGUUGUAUCCUAGUGGAGCAAACGCCAUAUUUAAUUUCAUUAUUCUAUUUGUUGUUUAAAAUAUAAUUACUAAUUAAAGUAAUAAAAAAAGGCUAACAUAUUACUUAAUUACAUAUAUUAAAUUAAAGAAGUAGGCCAAAAAACAAAAGCUAAGAAACUAAUUAUAUAUUUUUUAAUAUUUUUUUAAAUUUUCAUUUUAAAGCGUAUAGCCGCACGACUAUACUAGUUAUAUAUAUAAAAAGGGACGCCCCCUGGGUCUAGGGGCCACGUGUCAAAUACUAUUAUUGACAAAAAAAAACAUUAGGAAAAUGAGUAUAGCCGCACGGUUAUACUAUUUCUCAAAAAAUUUAAAAAAGAAUCUUUAUAGCCGGGCGGCUAUACUAGUCAGUCAAACGAGUAGCACUGGUUUUUUUUUUCAAAAGAGUAUAGCCGGCCGGCUAUACUAUUUUUAAAAGCAAACUGAGUAUAGCCGGGCGGCUAUACGUUUUCUAAUUAUAAAGUAUAUAUCAUUCUUAUUCAAUAAUUAUGUGUUCAAUGUUUAAUUAAUAUUAAAAUAUAUAUAUAUACUUAAUUAAUCAAAAGAUUAGCCUUGGGCCUUAGGGUUCUUGGACUCUGUGAUUUAAAUUAAACCCGAUUAGUUAAUUAAUUAUUUGAAUUAUUUUUAAAUAAUAUUUUGAGUUUGUCCUAUAAAUUCGCAGAGAACAUUCAUAUCAUCAUUCUUCUAUAGUCGCAUAGAUAAACCCAAAAAGUUUGCUAGAAAUGAAAGCCCUAGUGCUAGGACUUUGAUUUAGAAAGUUGUAUCAUAGUGGAGCAAAUGCAAUAUUUAAUUUCAUUAUUCUAUUUGUUGUUUAAAAUAUAAUUACUAAUUAAAGUAAUUAAAAAAGGCUAACAUAUUACUUAAUUACAUAUAUUAAGGACCUGUUUGGGAGUGCUUCUGAAAGGGCAAAAAACGCUUUCUGAUAACUAAAAGCGCUUUUGAUAGCAUUUGGCAAAAAAUUUUAGAAGCGUUUCUAUAGCACUUCAUGGGGAAGCACCUGCUAUGUGCUUCUUCAGGAAGUACUCCCAAGUGCUUUUCCACAGAGCACUUUAAUUUUUUAAGAAAAUUCUAGAUUUUUAUAAUAAAAACGCUUUUGUAAGAAGCGCUUAUGAGCAGAAGUACUUCCUAGAGAAGCAGUCUCAAACGAGCCCUAAAUUAAAGAAGUAGGCCAAAAAACAAAAACUAAGAAACUAAUUUUAUAUUUUUUAAUAUUAAAUUUCCCAAAUUAAAUUUUUAUUUUAAAAAGUAUAGCCGCAUGGCUAUACUAUUUAUAUAUAAUAAAAAAAAGGACGUGCCCAGGGCCUAGGUGCCACGUGUCAAAUACUAUUUUUGAAAAAAAAAAAAAAAGGAGUAGGAAAAUGAGUAUAGCCGGCUAUACCAUUUCUUAAAAAAUUUCAAAAGGCUUUUCAUCACAAAACGUCUCUGAUGUUUGCGAAACUAUCAGAUUGCAUCCUUAAAUUUUUUUUGUAUCACUCAUGGUCUCUAAAGUUAAUAUAGGUGCUCUUAAAUAGUCCAUCUAUCAAAAAAAACUGUUAAAUCUAGGGAUAUAAUCGUCAAAUCAAUCCAAAAUUAUAAUAUAUGUAUAUAUAUAUUUUAUCCGCAUUAUGUUAUUAUGGUGGUAGAGGAUCAAUCCACAAACACAUAUAUUCCUGUUAUUUUUUCUGUUUCAGGGAGGCACAAACUGAUUCUAAACUUGAUUCUUCAAUUACUUUUUAUUGUUUUUCUAAUAUAGAGAACCAAUUUUAAAAUUCCAUGCAUCAUGAUAGGUAAAGAAGAAGUGGCGAUUGACCACCCCGAUUGUCAUCUUCAUCAUUUUCCAGCGUACUUGAAGAAGUUUGGUCUGUCUUUCAACUUUUCAAAUCUAUUUGCCUUUGGGUAGUGGUUAAGCCCUUCUUCUUUUCUUUUUAUUGUAUAUUUAUUUUGAAAGUUUUUGUUAUGAAUCAAGUAUCUGCUGUGUUUGGUGUCAAGACCAAUUCAAAACUGUAUUUCGCUCCAAGAAAGAGAUCAAAUUGAGUACCCAGUUAAAGAUAUUUGCUGCUUAAUGAUCAAUUUCUAAGGAAUGAAAUCAAGUAUAAUCAUACUCUCACUUUAUUAUUAGCUGGAAAUUUUUUUUUUUUGGCAUAGAAAGAAGAAGAAGAAAAAGAAAGAGAGAAAGAAGAAGAAGAAAGAAAGAGGGAAGGGAAGGAAAUAAAAUAUAUAUUUUUUAUAAUUUUGAAUUGAUUUGACGAUUAUAUUUCUGAAUUUAACAAUUUUUUGACAGAGGGACUAUUUAAGAGCACCUAUAUUAAUGUUAGGGACCAUAAGUGAUACAAAAAAAUUUUAAGGAUGUAAUCUGAUAGUUUCGCAAACAUAUUUUAUGAUAAAAAGCCAUUUCAAAAAAGAAUAUAGUAUAGCCGGGCGGCUAUACUAUAUGUGUAUGUAUACAGACACGCCCUACAUCCAUCUUCCUCUUAUUCCAAGCAAGGGGCUUCGUAAAGAGUAACUGGAAAGCAAGACUCGUGCCCUUCGAAUGCUUUAGUGGUUUCAUUCAAUUGCAUUAUAUAAAAUAUCCAGAGUGUUACGAAUAUCCUCCCUGAAUUUUAUUUGGACCCCAAAUUCUUACAUUUUCAUAGUUUUUAACUUGGAAGGUUCUCUUAACUAUAUUGGUAGAUUGGCUGAGUAGGGUACAAGUAGUUUAUAGUUUAGGCUGGCUUUGUUGGUCUUGGUGACAGUGUUGGUAUCAUAAACUGAUGGAGAGGAGUGGUAGAAAGAAAGAUGAACUAGAGGUCGACUUGCUGAUACAGAUAUUGGAGAUGUGAUAAUUUCAGCAUUUCGUUUCGGGUUCUGUCACAGUAUUUCUUGAAACGAUUCUGGUCUAGUUUUGGAUCAUUGAGAAUAUCAUGUUCAUGGUAUAAUAGUGUUGGAGUGGAUGCAGAACUGGCCAAAAAGAUCUUCUGGAGGCAAAUGUGGCAUCUCCAGUUGGUGGCCUUGAGUCACAUUGGUAGCAUGAUGUGGAUGGAGUGAUUGUAAUGAUUGGAAACAUGUCACUAAUACAAAAAAUAAUCGGGAAUAGGUCAACUGAUUCAAAUAAUUGUGGAUUGUCUAGCUUACACAAGAGGGCUGGAUGAUUGCUUCGCUUCAUUGAAUUUAAUUGCAUUUCUCAUAUUUAUUCCCCAAUAUCAUUAGUUUCUUUCUGAGAUUACAAGAGUAUUCUGUAGAGACAGCCAUUGCCACAAUUGUUGAUGGAAGUGACAGCUUAAAAAUCAACAUCCAACACCUCAGGGAGCUUAGCUUUCGAGUCGGAUCCAUCUACCAGUUCAUCGGCGAGCUGCUUAUUCAACCCGAUAAUGAGGGUAAGUGGCAAAUUACAUCCACCUGAUGAUUUUCAGUGCUGGCCUUCAUCACAACACAUGAAUGUUAUGUUAAUUAUGUUAGAGGAAUAAGCUCAAUUGUUCUUGCUCUUUUUUCAGGCCGUCUUGCAGGCACUUGUGGGUAGGAAUGUUGAUGGCAUUGAUCUCAAUCUCUAUUAUCAGUCUCUCCAAUUGUUGAGACAAUUUCAGGCUCAUCAUUUGAAGAACCCAGCAACUUAAAUAUUGUAAUUUAAAAGUCAAUUUAAAGACCAAAUUACCCUCUUCAUCCAACCCAUCAAACAGUGCAAAUUGAAAUCGUAAUGGCAAAUAGCUCAAAGCCAAUGGCCCAACGAUGACUUCAUAAUUGUCAAAAGAUGGGCCUUGGGAUAUAUAUCUAUUUGGCUUCAUCUGUUUAUUUAAUUAAUAAUUUCUUUUUUAUUAAUUAGAAAUUUGUUUUCAGAUAAAAUUAUUAUUUAAAAUUCGAAUAUGUUAAACAGUUAAUGUAAUUAUUGAAUGAAAAGGUGUCAGACCUCUAUAUAUUGACAAUUCGUCCAAACCAGAAAUCACAAUUUUGGAAUUGCAUUAUUAUUCUCACACAUAAACACCUGCAGGACUCUAUUAUCAAUCCAAGUCAGUAUUUUAUAAUUUAUUAUACUAUUGUAUUGAUUUGAUUAUAUAUAUAAAGAAUAUUUUAUUUUUAUUAUUAUUCUGUUGUUUAAUUUUAUACUAAUUGUUCCCCAACAAUUUCUUCCAUCCCCUAUGUUUUAGUUGACCAACUCAUGACUUCCCAUUCCAAUCUCCAAAUAAUAGUAAAUGCCACACUAGUGUUGAUAAUUUGGUGGUGGCUGAUCUCUCUCCUUUGCUCUUUGACCAAUAAUAAGGUUUAUCUACCCCAUACUUCCAUUUCCAUGCAUGCCAAUGCCCCAUUAACUUUCCAUUUGUCUGGAAGCCCUGAAAAUGAUCUAGCAAGCUCCGAAGAUGCCAAGCUCGUGCUCUUGCAGUUACCAAAUUAUUUUUACUUUUUACUACACGGAUAUAUAUAUAUAUAUAUAUAUAUAUUUAUUUAUGUUUGUUUGUGCUUGUGGAUCUUCCUCUCUGUCGUCAAAUGGAGGUAUAAUAGAUUUGCAAACUAGAAUGGACAAACUAGAAUGGACGAAUGAGAUAUGCUACAAAUCUGUGGCUCUAAAGCAAGUCAAAGUCAAAGACUCAAAGAUAUGCUCGCCUCAGUUUAAGUAACAAACAAGAUUAAUCUUAUUAACCUCAUCACUAGUUAAAGUUAAUGAAGGUACGUGAUGCAUGCGUGGAUUUGUGAGAAAUUAAUUACGGCUUCAAAGGUGUAAUUUAUGAAUACAAUCUUUUUACUAUUUGAACAAAAAAAAAACAUGGGCGGCUUCCAUACUUAAUUAGUUAAUUUAUUAUCGAAAUCUAAUACAUUUAUCUUGGAUGGUAUAAUUAAGGAUAAAAAUAUGGCCAAUCUAAUUAGUUAAUUAACAAUAAAAUAUGUUCCAUUCAGUUGGAUAUGUUCAAGGUUUUCCCACCAACCAACUACUGUCUAUAAUCUUUAUUAUACUUAGCAAGAAUUCUAUAGUGAGGCUUUAUAUAUGGUAUUUAGGUGAGUUCUUAUUUCUUAAUCGUUGAAUCAAAUUAAUUAGCUUGAUCCAACAGUUAAAAGAUAGAACCUCACCUAAGGGUCAUGUAUAAGAGUCUCAAGGUUUUAAAAGAUAAGAAAAAGUAUGUUGGUAUUAAAAAAACUUACCGAUUUUGAAGUAUCUCGUUAAAUAGUGUAGUGUGUGAGACUUUUGAAUUGGUGAUAUAAAUACAAAACUCUAUAAAAAUCCCACCCUCCUAUGCCCGAUUCUCACGUUUUUUAUUUUAUUUUGGGGAAGAAUGAACAAAUGAAGAUAAACAUCAUACCCAUGUCUAAUUACAACGAGACUCGAUCCUUCUGUAUUUAACGGAUAUACUCAGAUGGCUUACCUUAAUCUAAACAAUAAUUUUAAAGCAGUCUAGAUUCAGAUACAUUGCUUUCAAUAUCCAUGCAUUUUUCUCAACAGCUUUUCGGCUCCUUUAUUUCCUUUUAUUUAUUUCUUUUUCUUUAGUCAAUUUGUGGGAUCAAUCUACGUGACAAGUUGGACCAUUUUGACUUGUUUUCAGCUGUCCAUUCUCAUAUUUGAAUCGAUUCAAUUAACUUGUUUGUUGUAAUAUUUAUAAAUUAAAUUAAUUCAAGAUUUUCCCUUGUUGUAACCUGUUGCUAUGUUAAUUUUCAGUUCCAGACCAACUUUUCUAUCCAAAAUUUAAUAGACGCAUGGUUUUAGUUUCAUGACAGUUAUGUUUGAAGAUGGCUAACCCGAAUUCAAUUCACGCUUUGCCCAAAUCUACUUUGGAGAAUACAAAAAAGUCUUGCGUGAAUUAAAAUCAUAAGUAAAAUCGUGUGAUUACAGUUUAUUAAAAUCUCAAUUGAAUACACCUCUAAGUUUAUUGGUGUAAUUAUCAAGCUUCUCAAAAUAAAAUAAGCACAAAGUUUUAUAUUUUAUAUUUUUUUUUCUUGGUACGUGUGGGGAAAAAUUAGCAUAAAACUUUAUAUGAAUGUUUAAUAAAGUUAAUUUUAGAUUAUGUAAUUAUCCACAAUGCAAAAAUGCUUUUUUAAAAAGUUAAUUGUCUUAGAUUCCGAGACGCUUCUAGGUUUCCAACUAUGAUUAAAACUUAAAAAGAGAAUGGAUCUUUAUGCAUAUUUUAUUCUACUUGACACUGAUUAGAUGCCAUCCACUUGCAGCACAAGUUGAAUCCUUGUGUGAAUGUCCCAAAUGACUAUGCCAUGAUAAAGAGACACAUUUGUUGUGGACUACAUCGUCGUGAUCUUGUUGGGUGAAUGAUUUUAUAUUUUAAAAUUCUGUAGAUAAUUCUUUGCUUGGUUCAAAAGAAACUUAUCAUUGUCUUGAGUGUUAAAAACGUAUUACUUCUGUUUUGAUGGUUAUAUAAUUAAUAAUAAAUGUUACGGAUAUCCGUUUAUGUCAGUGAGAAAAUCUUUCUUUGUAUCUCUCACGUUACUUCUGUUUUGUGAUAAAAUAUGUCAGUUGGUUUUGUGUCGGUGAUUAUAAGCCACUAAUUUAAGCAUGAGCAGACUGCAGACAUUCGUGGCUUCAAUCAAAGUCAAAAUCACUUGUUUUCUUUUGGCACAUUCGCAUUGGCACAAAUAGAAAGGUCUUUGUGAUAUGAUAGACUGGUUACUUUUCCCACCUUGAAAGCAUCCAUUAUUGUUUUAUAUUUCGGCUAAUGGCUUUUGAUCAUUCCCUGUUUCCUGCCUUUGAAAACUUUAGCUUCGGCUGUUCAUCAAGUCGGCAUGACUGCUGCUGCCCUUUGCCUCAUCAGCCGCUUUUAUGUUUUUUCGUCACAUAUUUUUAAGUCCUUGUUUUCUAAAGAGACAACUUCAAUAAUGAUAAAAUCAAAAGAUUCUGUUGACAAUCAAGUUAAUUAGGCAAAAUUUGGUUUCAAUUCUCAGGGUCUGCAUCAGAUAUUCUUUAUUUACUCAGUUUGCUUCGUUCUCUUUAAAGUAAUAUUUUUGUAAAUACAUGUGAUAGUUUAAACUACAGAAAUGAGGAUUUCUCACACACACAUAAUUAUGAUGCCGUGAGAAUUUGAAUUUGAGAACCUUUGACAAAUCAAUAUUUUUAUAACCAAAAAAAGGAAAAACAACAAUAAUAGUUAUUUGAGAAUUGGUAACGUAACAGUUUAUUUAACAAACUGGUACACGGUACAGGAAUAGCAAACUAACAAAUUCCCAGGUCACAUUAUUUACUAUAAAUUUAGUUUCUACAAACAACAGAUUGAUAUUUGAUACCCUCAAUAGUAAUUUUAACUGAAUUUUUAAAGAGACAAUAAAAAACUUUGGCCACACCCAUAAUUACUUUAAG
rnacentral:lncRNA from 1 species